rnacentral:rRNA from 1 species
UACGGAGGGUGCAAGCGUUGUCCGGAAUCACUGGGCGUAAAGGGCGCGUAGGCGGCUCAUGAAGGCUGUGGUGAAAGUCCGGGGCUCAACCUCGGAUCGGCCGUGGCGACUCGUGGGCUGGAGCACUGUAGAGGCGGGUGGAAUUCCGGGUGUAGCGGUGGAAUGCGUAGAGAUCCGGAAGAACACCAGUGGCGAAGGCGGCCCGCCUGGGCAGUGGCUGACGCUGAGGCGCGACAGCGUGGGGAGCAAACAGGAUAUGAAA